GGAAGGUGGCUGGGUGGCUGAAAUCAAAAAUCCAAUUGCGCACUGGGUUGUGAUGAGAAAUCUAAUCAGAUCUUUGACGAAGGGGCCGGCCGGAAGGGUAGCCGGUGGGGGCAGUUGAUCCCUAAAUUCUCCGAAGGGAAAGCUGGGGAAAGGAAUCGAGGAUGUAAAGACAAGACUUUUUUGUUCUUCUUUCUUUCUUUCUUUUCUUUUCUUUCUUUUUUUCCUUUUCUUUUUCUUUUUUUUUUUCUUUCCUUUUUUUUAACCCCCGGAGGAGGUGGCUUUUGGGUGCCUUGCUAAAAUGAAGGAUACGGGACGCAGCUCUCUCUUGGAGCAGAACGCAGAGGAUAAGGUGAUGGUGCCAGAGAGAAGAAAGAAUGAAGCUUUUUCUUGUGAGACCUGGAUCGUAACAUAAAUGUGUAUAUGGCCACACGGAGAGCAUUGGGGGGAAAAAUGAAAUAAGCUGAUGUCAGACCUGCGGGGUUUGGUGUAUUCUGACAUAAAUAAUCAUAAAAUAGCUGUCCCCCUCCCCCAAGGAUGUUUGGAAAUGAAGAACUGAGGAUCCACAAAGAAAAAGUGUGCUCAUUUUUCUCUGUAAAAGAGAAAGUACGCCAAGGAGAUAUUUUUGGAAUGAAAAGUUUGGGGCUUUUUUUAGAAAAGUAAAGACCUGAUAUAUAUAUAUUUUUUUUUCUUUUGGAAUUUCCCACAAGAGGAGAGGAAAUUAAUAAUACAUCUGCAAAGAAAUCCCACUGAAGAAAAGUUGACCGUGGAAGAAGGAAGCAUUGAUUGGGAAAGAAAUCAGCAGAGGACCCUUGGAUCAGUGCCCGUGUUGACUAAAAUUGAAGGAUAAUUGCAGUUGGAUUUUUUUUUCUUCACCAACCUCCUUUUUUGUGUGUUUUCUUUCUCGUUUUCUUUUGGUGUCAAGACCGUGCAUUCUUUCUUGUUCUUAACCACCUGGAUUUCCCUCGGGAUGUAGCUGUGCUGAAAUACAGUGAGUGAUCCUAAUUUUCUUAUUUAUCAGGGCAGAAAUUGUUCAUUAAUUUAGUGUUCUGGUUCUCUUUCUUUCCCCCUCCCCCCUCACUGUGGUUUUUUCAAGGACCCGGCUAUUGGGAACAAGAAAAUGAGGGACAGGGUGGCCCACGCAGUUGUUCCAUCAAGCUGUGCUCACUGAUAAGCUGGACUGCUAUAAUGAUGCAGGUUGUCUGCAUUCUACGCAAAUGCCUUUGCAAGUGUUCAGUAUGGAGAAGAAGG
rnacentral:lncRNA from 1 species